GGAAGAGUGGCUGAGAGGUUGAAGGCGCCGCUCUCGAAAAGCGGUAAGGGGGAAACCCCUUCGUGGGUUCAAAUCCCACCUCUUCCG
rnacentral:tRNA from 1 species